UGAGUGUGUCUGUUCAUGGCAAGAGGAAGAGAGAGCAUGUUUGUGUCUGUAUGUCCAUGUGCAGAGAGUGAGUGAGUGAAGUGUGUGUGUGUGUGAGUGUGUGUGUGUG